CAUUCAUUCAUUCAUUCAUUCAUUCAUUCAUUCAUUCAUUCAUUCAUUUGUUCAUUCUAUGCUGUCCGCAGUUCUUGCUGCUUCUUGCGCGUUCCAUAGUUCUCUUGGAAUUUCUGUUUUCGUUGUAGUUUACGCGCUCCUCUGGCACUGCGCAGAGAGACGCAUACUAUUCUUGGCAAGUUCGGUUCAUGUUGUUUUAUGCUGAAGAUAAUGCUGAAUUCACUACACUAUAGUACAGUAGUUAUCGAGGCUCACAGCUUUAACAGGACCAUAUGUAAAACAGGUUGUUACUUCCUCCUGUGUGUUAUCCUGUAUAUGUUCAAUAAAUAAAUAAAUAGAAUAAUUUUCCAGACAAUUUUAACUUCAAUCUGUGUAUGGUUAAACUAACAAAUAAACAAGUACAUUGGACAUCAAAUGACGUUAUUCAUUCACGCUGAAUUUAGUAAACAAAAGGAUUGAAGCCUAUAUGAACAUUUUGUGACGAUUCAUCAACCUUUGCUGCAGCA
rnacentral:lncRNA from 1 species